GACGUAGGGCGCGAGCGUUGUCCGGAUUUAUUGGGCGUAAAGAGCUCGUAGGCGGCUUGUCGCGUCGAAUGUGAAAACUCGAGGCUCAACUUCGAGCUUGCAUUCGAUACGGGCAGGCUAGAGUUCGGUAGGGGAGACUGGAAUUCCUGGUGGAGCGGUGAAAUGCGUAGAUAUCGCCUGGAACGCCGAAGGUGAAAACAGUCUGCUGGGGGCGUACCGACGCUGAGACACGAAAGCCAGGGGAGCGAACGGG
rnacentral:rRNA from 1 species